rnacentral:tRNA from 2 species
GCGCGCGUGGCGGAAUUGGUAGACGCGGCAGGUUUAGGUCCUGUUGUCGAUGAGACGUGGGGGUUCGAGUCCCUCCGCGCGCACCA